GCCUGAGUGGCUCAGUUGGUUAAGCGUCCGGCUUUGGCUCGGGUCAUGAUCUUGUGGUCCGUGAGUUCAAGCCCCGCCUUGGGCU
rnacentral:tRNA from 1 species